CUUCCUCGGAUUGAAAAACCACCAAUCCUUGGUCUUAGGGUGAGGACGGAGAACAAAAAAAAUCUGAAAUAAAGAGGGACGAGGAUCAGUCGGGAUAAGACAACAUAAUAAGGCAAAACUAAUGAUCAGCUAGAUGGAGUUCGGAGCCAACUGAGCAAGACAAAGACCAUAAUAUUCAAGAAGAUUUCGGACGAACUUCGAAAUCAAAAAUUGAAGACCGAUCCAAAGGUCCUCGACAUAAAAUGCGAUCUGAUCCA
rnacentral:lncRNA from 1 species